rnacentral:lncRNA from 1 species
CCCCAGCCCCCUCACCCUUGCUCAUCCUAGCACAACACCCCUGGGGUGCCUCUGCCCCCAGCCCCUCGCCCCUGGGGUGCUGCUCACCCCAUCCCAGUCCCCCCCAGGAGGGUCCCCAGGGGUGCACAUGGGGCAGGUCGCCCCAGGGCACUGCUCACCCCAGGGUUCCGCUCUCCCCAGCCCCACCAGUUCCCGGGGGGGUCCUGCUGUGGGGGACAGCUUGUGCCAUGGGUCACACCCCGGCUCCCCGCCCCGCUGGGCUCCCUGGCAUGCAGACCCGUAGGUUCUUUCCCUCUGGGUUUUUAUCCUCUCUGCUUUCCCGGAAAAGGAAAGCUUAGGAGAAAAGAAAAUGGAACUAAACAGUAGUGGACGUUAACCUCAGGAGGGGACUGCAGAUUCCCCGCGCUGCCAGGGCCACUGGCCACAACCUCCCUGCAGCGUGGAGCCAGCAGCGGCCGUGGGGGACCCACCCCCGGGGGCUCCCUUGGCGCCCAGGCACAGCUGAUUUCACCCCCAAAACCGGGACCUUUCUGUGCCUGUCCGAGCCACCGGCGUUCCCUGGCAGCAGCAGCAGCGGGUUGCACUCCCCAGUCCGUGUCCUGAGCCCCGCAGCCCCGGCGCCUUCCAGGCACCCUGCACCCCGCUCCUGCCAAACCUGCGCCGGGGGGACGCCCGGCCCCCAGCACCCAGCUGCGCCGCAGAGCCCGGCAGGAUCAAGGCCAGCGUCUCCGAGGGGAAAACAAUGUGCCGCUGUGUGUGUUCCGCCAACAAGGCGGCAUCUUCCUUAUUGACUUUUGGUUGCCAGUUGAUAAAGCCUUUGAAUGGCUGCCGGGCUGCUGCUGGUCCGUCCGCCCGCGCCUUCGGCCGUCUGCGAGAUCGAGAGCUGCCCCGGCAGCCGUCAGGGCCGCAAAGGAGCCGCGGAGGAGGGACCCUGGGUGAAAGCACGCGCUUUUCAGAGCGUAGCGAGGCUGUUUGCUUUGGGAAGACAAACGGUCCAAGCAAGUGUAUUGAAUUAGUCAGUAAACACGCUCUGUCUCCUGCCACUUGUUCCCGAAUACGAGCUCCAGGUCAGUGUUCCCAACCAUUACCUGCUCGGGAGCAAAACCCGGCAGAGCUGCAGCUGACUGGCCCUUCCCUGUGC